CGGGUACUGCCUGGUACGAGCUUUAGCGAACAUCCCUGAGGCGAUAUCACAUCCAAGGGAGCUGUCCCUGCCCGGGUUCCGGCCUGGAUUACACGGCACCCACCUGACGUUGAGGCGUCAGAGGAUAUUCCAGCAAACGGCCGAGGCGGUCCCGUC
rnacentral:other from 1 species